rnacentral:rRNA from 1 species
AUAUUGGGCAAUGGGCGCAAGCCUGACCCAGCAACGCCGCGUGAAGGAAGAAGGCUUUCGGGUUGUAAACUUCUUUUAAGAGGGAAGAGAAGAAGACGGUACCUCUUGAAUAAGCCACGGCUAACUACGUGACAGCAGCCGCGGUAAUACGUAGGUGGCAAGCGUUGUCCGGAUUUACUGGGUGUAAAGGGCGUGCAGCCGGGCUGACAAGUCAGAUGUGAAAUCCCGCGGCUCAACCGCGGAACUGCAUCUGAAACUGUCAGUCUUGAGUACCGGAGAGGUCAUCGGAAUUCCUUGUGUAGCGGUGAAAUGCGUAGAUAUAAGGAGGAACACCAGUGGCGAAGGCGGAUGACUGGACGGCAACUGACGGUGAGGCGCGAAAACGUGGGGAGCAAACAGG